rnacentral:rRNA from 1 species
AAAGGAGCGAUCCGGUGGCGGAUGGGCAUGCGGCGCAUUAGCUAGACGGCGGGGUGACGGCCCACCGUGGCGACGAUGCGUAGGGGUUCUGAGAGGAAGGCCCCCCACACUGGGACUGAGACACGGCCCAGACUCCUACGGGAGGCAGCAGUGAGGAAUAUUGGUCAAUGGGCGGAAGCCUGAACCAGCCAAGUCGCGUGAGGGAUUAAGGCCCUGCGGGUCGUAAACCUCUUUUGCCGGGGAGCAGUGGUCCGGACGCGUCCGGGCCGGGAGAGUACCCGGAGAAAAAGCAUCGGCUAACUCCGUGCCAGCAGCCGCGGUAAUACGGAGGAUGCGAGCGUUAUCCGGAUUUAUUGGGUUUAAAGGGUGCGUAGGCGGGCAUUUAAGCCGGCGGUCAAAUGUCGGGGCUCAACCCCGGCCUGCCGUCGGAACUGGGUGCCUUGAGUGGGCGAGAAGUAUGCGGAAUGCGUGGUGUAGCGGUGAAAUGCAUAGAUAUCACGCAGAACCCCGAUUGCGAAGGCAGCAUACCGGCGCCCUACUGACGCUGAGGCACGAAAGUGCGGGUAUCGAACAGGAUUAGAUACCCUGGUAGUCCGCACAGUAAACGAUGGAUGCUAUCUGUCCGGGCCGAAUGAGGCCUGG